GAGGGGAUAGCUCAAGUGGUAGAGCACAUGUUUAGGAUAUAUGAGGUCCUUGGCUCAAGCCCCAGUACCUCCU
rnacentral:tRNA from 1 species